UACGAAGGGGGCUAGCGUUGUUCGGAAUUAUUGGGCGUAAAGGGAGCGUAGGCGGUUCGGCAAGUCUCUAGUGAAAUCUCUGGGCUCAACCCAGAGUCUGCUGGGGAAACUGCCGGGCUUGAGUAUGGGAGAGGUGAGUGGAAUUCCCGGUGUAGCGGUGAAAUGCGUAGAUAUGGGGAGGAACACCUGUGGCGAAAGCGGCUCACUGGCCCGUUACUGACGCUCAGGCGCGACAGCGUGGGGAUCAAACAGG
rnacentral:rRNA from 1 species